rnacentral:lncRNA from 1 species
CCGGCAACUCCCCUCCCUCGGUCUCAUUCGGCCGCUUGGAUCCCACAGGGUAGAGGUACCUGAACUUGUGCAGUGGGAUCUUGCUAAAUUACAAUGAGUGGAAUUAUCGAGAUGGAAUGGUGCUUGUUUGCACUGAUUCUAAAUCUUGGGUAUAGAUAUCCAAGAUGUGAACAGGUGUUUGGGAAUGGAUAGAACCACCUUUAAUUCUCUUGAGGGACUGGCAUAUUCCUCCUGUACUUGAGCAAGUUCUCUGUAGGCUGGGAAGCCUACUUUAAUUGCUCCUUUGAACCAUGAGAUCACUAGCAUUCCGUGAAAGCAGGAUGGAGAAAUCCUUAAAGGAUUUGGUUGCCCAAAAGUUGUAUACUGCAUCGUAGGGAAUGUAUGAAAAUGAAUGAAUACUUCGGUAGCAUUAUCCCACAAAAAUGGACUUGGUAUGGAGAAUGCUACAUUCCAAAUCGAAAUGCGUCAACUACAACAAAUAUUUAAGAUUGGUAUCUUGCACGAUCGAGACAAGCUUGAGGCAUGCAUUGGUUGUCGACAUUCUUCAAGACGGAAGAGAAGGGAGCUUACGGCAAGAAAUAACUACAAGGAUGCAGUUUUAACUUCGUAUUUACAUAGAUCGUAUUUACGGUCUGAAAGGCUUGAUAAAUGUGUAAAAGCUGUUUUUUUAAUAAAUUUAAAAUUG